UAAACGACUCUCGGCAACGGAUAUCUUGGCUCUCGCAUCGAUGAAGAACGUAGCGAAAUGCGAUACUUGGUGUGAAUUGCAGAAUCCCGUGAACCAUCGAGUCUUUGAACGCAAGUUGCGCCCGAAGCCUUCUGGCUGAGGGCACGCCUGCCUGGGCGUCACGCA
rnacentral:rRNA from 1 species